AGCUGGAAAACGUAUGCUUAGUUUUGCUACUGAGCCUAAAACCUGAAGGGAUCAUGGAUCGUUCAAGUAGUCUGAUCACCUCAAGCAGGUAAUCCAUCCGUAGCCUCCUUCUUUCGUUAGAUCUGUAUAUAUCUUCAUGGCUUUUUCAAUCCUUAAAGAAGAUUUCUAACGAAGUAAAACCCUAAGCUUCUCACCCGUUCACUCUCACUUCACUUGUUUGCUGGGUUUUCUGUGAUCUCAUAUACCUAUUGGAGUACCUUUUUACCUCUGUAGACGCAAUUUUUGUUUACCCUUAAUAUAUAUCAUUACAGUGCUAGUCUGUCUGUUUGUAAUUUUAUUUCCAUUUUAAUCUAAGAAAAUUGGGUUUGAUUGUUGGUAUCUUUAGCUUAGUCUACACCUAUUGGCUGAAUUGUUAGGAUGUUACUUUAGACUGCAUACUAGAUUUGCCUGCUUCGAAGUGUUCUGUCCUAUUUCGAGGUAAUUGGCUUUGAUUUCUAGUUAUGGUUGAGCUCUGGUUCUUGUUGUAUUGUGCUGCAGCUUAAGUUGCAACUGUUCUGCUUUUGCUAGUCUGUUAAUGUGUAGCGAUGGAUGGGCUUUUACAGAUUGCUAAAUUUGUACCCGAUGUACUUUAUACGUUAAUGAUGAGGCAAUGUGUUUAAGAUAUUGGUCCUUCUCUGAUUUUUUAGUAAAAUACAUUUCCGUAAAAGGUUGAGCUACCCAAAUUCUUAAAAAAUGCAGCAUAAAGGAAAUUUAGCUCAAGUCAAAAUCUAUUAGUUUUCAGGGACGAGAUGAAUAAUGUACUGGAUCGAUGGGAAACUUGCCCAGCUGAUGAAAAAAGACUAGUCAUAUGUCAAUAUCUUGAUGAUGUGAAGAAAAACACUGGUUGCCGGUGAUAUUCCAACCCUGCAGAUUUUGAUGCAGAAAUGGAGAUCUUGACAGUAAAAACUCUUUGUUCCCAUUCCUAUUUGAUUGGAAAAUGCAUGCAUCAAAAUUUUGAUAAUGUGAUUUUUCUUUUCUUGGUUAUUAGAAGCUUAAUUUGAAAUUGUAUGCGGGAAAAACACCAAAAAGCUGUCUGUUUAAAUCAACUUAAGGAGCAUGAACUAGUGAUUGGAAUGCUUAAGGUAAUUCGAGAUUCAGUUCAAGUUUCUAAUUCAUUUUCUGUUAUAACAGGCCUGCAUAGAAUAACCAACUUGGCAAAAGAUAGAGACAUCAGAGUUUUAACAUAUAAGAAAUUUAUUGUGGGAUGCGCUAAAGCCUCUUAAAUAUUGUAAAUAUAGACGUUGGAUUCAACAUCUUUUUGAAAGCAGAAAGAAACUUUUAGAAUCUCUUGAAAAAGAGAAGGAAAACAAGAAGUCUUUAAUCCGGUUUUUGAAGCAAUCUGGAGUUAAAUAUAGAACUGCAGAAAAGUCCGAGAAAAAGAGAAUUCGUCGGAGAUUUACUUUAAAAAAGUUUAGUAUGGAAAAGGAUAAAGAUAUAUCUUUGUGGAUCAAGAAGAAGAGACAAGAAUACGCGAUUUUAGCUGAGGGAUUAAAGUGCGCAUCAGAUGGGUUGGGUGAUCCUUGCACUGAUUGUAGGAAACAAGCACGAUUUAUCUUUGACUACUUCAGUAGGUGGGGGAAACCUGCAAAGGUUAAAUUUUAUGCUUAAAUCCGGCUAGGCAGCUGGAAACGCUGAAUCAAUGGUUAAAUUGUAUGUUUUUAAUAUUAUAAAGAUAGUAAGUUGAGUUACUUCGUAUUUUAUAUUUGCCCCA